rnacentral:rRNA from 5 species
AAAUUGAAGAGUUUGAUCAUGGCUCAGAUUGAACGCUGGCGGCAGGCCUAACACAUGCAAGUCGAACGGUAACAGGAAGCAGCUUGCUGCUUCGCUGACGAGUGGCGGACGGGUGAGUAAUGUCUGGGAAACUGCCUGAUGGAGGGGGAUAACUACUGGAAACGGUGGCUAAUACCG